CCUGCAUGAUCAAUUUGUAGGGUGUGU
rnacentral:piRNA from 1 species